rnacentral:rRNA from 1 species
GGGUCUCCGUAGGUGACCUGCGGAGGGAUCAUUACACAAAUAUGAAGGCGGGCUGGAACCUCUCGGGGUUACAGCCUUGCUGAAUUAUUCACCCUUGUCUUUUGCGUACUUCUUGUUUCCUUGGUGGGUUCGCCCACCACUAGGACAAACAUAAACCUUUUGUAAUUGCAAUCAGCGUCAGUAACAAAUUAAUAAUUACAACUUUCAACAACGGAUCUCUUGGUUCUGGCAUCGAUGAAGAACGCAGCGAAAUGCGAUAAGUAGUGUGAAUUGCAGAAUUCAGUGAAUCAUCGAAUCUUUGAACGCACAUUGCGCCCUUUGGUAUUCCAAAGGGCAUGCCUGUUCGAGCGUCAUUUGUACCCUCAAGCUUUGCUUGGUGUUGGGCGUCUUGUCUCUAGCUUUGCUGGAGACUCGCCUUAAAGUAAUUGGCAGCCGGCCUACUGGUUUCGGAGCGCAGCACAAGUCGCACUCUCUAUCAGCAAAGGUCUAGCAUCCAUUAAGCCUUUUUUUCAACUUUUGACCUCGGAUCAGGUAGGGAUACCCGCUGAACUUAA